rnacentral:rRNA from 1 species
AGCAGCCGCGGUAAUUCCAGCUCCAAUAGCGUAUAUUAAAGUUGUUGCAGUUAAAAAGCUCGUAGUUGAAUUUCGGGGUUAGUAGAUUGGUCAUGCCUCUGGUAUGCACUGGUCUUACUGAUUCCUCCUUCCUGAUGAACCGUAAUGCCAUUAAUUUGGUGUUGCGGGGAAACUGGACUGUUACUUUGAAAAAUUAGAGUGUUUAAAGCAGGCUAACGCUUGAAUACAUUAGCAUGGAAUAAUGAAAUAGGACGUUCGAUCUUAUUUUGUUGGUUUCUUAGGAUUGACGUAAUGAUUAAUAGGGAUAGUUGGGGGCGAUUAGUAUUCAAUUGUCAGAGGUGAAAUUCUUGGGUUUAUUGAAGACUAACUACUGCGAAAGCAUUUGCCAAGGAUGUUUUCUAUUAAUCAAGAAACGAAAGUUAAGGGGAGUCGAAGACGAUCAGAUACCGUCGUAGUCUUAACCUAUAAACUAUGCCGACGUAGGGAGUCGGAUGAUGUUAAUUUUUUAAUUAGUACUCUA